UUUGUGCCGCAGCAGGAGGCUUGGGUGGUGGAGUGGAUGGGCAAGUUCCACUGAAUCCUUGAGCCUGUAAGGAGCUGUUUUUCUUCCCUUCUGGAUUCAGCAGGUUCCUAAAGCUGUAGCGAGGGUUUGAACUUCCUCAUCCCUCUGCUGGACCAGAUUCGUUAUGUGCAGAGUCUCAAAGAAAUCAUCAUUAACGUCCCAGAGCAGUCAGCUGUCACCCUAGGCCAGCUAUGGGGUGGAAGAUCCUGAAUAUGCAGUGACCCAGCUGGCCCAGACCACCAUGAGAUCUGAACUUGGCAAACUCUCCCUCUACAGAGUCUUCCGGGUGAGCUGGGGAGGUGGAUCAUGGAGCUGCCAGCAUCUAGCAGCAUUUCUCAAAACCCUGGGGGGUCUGCAUGGCCAGGCUCAUACGCUUAACAGCAAAAUGCCCUUUGCUUAGAGGGCUUCUGUUUCAGUUGACCUAUUAGUGAAUCCUUGAAGAUGGGUCUUGUUUUGGUUAUUUUUUUUAACAGGAGCCCUGAACGGGGCUGAACAUGGAGCAGGGGUUCAGGCCAGCUCCUGAAGCCAUCAUCUCAUGGCCCUGCCUGCCCUGUCCCACUCCUACUGCCUGUCCAGUCUUAGAAUAGAAUAGAAUAUUUCAGUUGGAAGGGACCUACAAUGAUCAUCUGGUCCAACUGCCUGACCAAUUCAGGGCUGACCAAAAGUUAAAGCAUGUUAUUAAGGGCACUGCCCAAAUGCCUCUUAAAUACUGACAGGCUUGGGGCAUCAACCACCUCUCUAGGAAGUCUGUUCCAGUGUUUGACCACCCUCUCUGUAAAGAAAUGUUUCCUAAUAUCUAGUCUGAUCCUCCCCUAAUGCAGCUUUGAACCAUUCCCAUUUGUCCUGUCACUGGAUACCAGGGAGAAGAGAUCAGCACCUCCCUCUCCACUUCCCCUCCUCAGGAAGCUGUAGAGAGCAAUCAGGUCGCCCCUCAGCCUCCUUUUCUCUAAACUAGACAAACCCCCGAGUCCUUAGCCGCUCCUCAUAGGACGUGCCUUCCAGCCCUUUCGCCAGCUUUGUUGCCCUCUUCUGGACACAUUCAAGGACCUUAACAUCCUUCUUAAAUUGUGGGGCCCAGAACUGCACACAGUACUCAAGGUGAGGCCGCACCAGCGCUAAAGACAGUGGGAUAAUCACCUCUCUUGACUGGCUGGUUAUGCUGUGUUUGAUGCACCCCAGGAUGUGGUUUGCCCUCUUGGCUGCCAGGACACACUGCUGACUCCUAUUGAGCCUGCUAUCGACCAGCACCCUCAGAUCCCUUUCUGCAGGGCUGCUCUCCAGCCACUCCUCUCCCAAUCUAUACUUGUGCCUGGCGUUACUCUGUCCCAGAUGCAGAAUCCAGCAUUUGUUCUUGUUAAAUUUAAUCCCAUUAAUGAUUGUCCAAUGCUCCAAUCUAUCUAGAUCCCUCUGCAAGGCCUCUUGUUUCUUGAGAGAGUCAACAGCACCUCCCAGUUUGGUAUCGUCAGCAAACUUGCUAAUAGUGCAUUCAACUCCUGCCUCCAGAUCAUUGAUAAAAAUAUUGAACAGGACUGGCCCUAGAACUGAGCCCUGAGGAAUACCGCUGGUGACUGGUUACCAGGCAGAUGUAGCCCCAUUUAUUACAACCCUUUGAGCCCUGCCCUUCAGCCAGUUCUUCACCCAGUGCACUGUGCACCUGCUCAUCCCACAGUUGGACAACUUGUCCAGAUGGAUGCUGUGAGGGAUGGAAUCAAAAGCCUUACUAAAAUCCAGAAAAACUACAUCCACCACCUUCCCUUCAUCCACUAGGUGGGUGACCUUAUCAUAGAAGGAUAUCAAAUUAGUUAAACAGGACUUUCCCUUUGUGAACCCGUGUUGACUGUACCUGAUGACUGCAUUGUUCUUUAAAUGCCUUUCAGUAGCACCCAGUAUGAUCUUCUCCAUAAUUUUUCCAGGAACUGAGGUUAGACUAACAGGUCUGUAGUUUCCUGGGUCUUCCCUCACAUCCUUCUUGUAGAUUGGAAUAACACUGGCUAGCUUCCAGUCAGCAGGGACCUCCCCAGACUCCCAAGACCUUUGGUAGAUGAUCGAGUGGGGUCCUGCCGUAACAUCCGCUAACUCCUUCAGUACUCUGGGAUGAAUCCCAUCAGGCCCCAUGGACUUGUGAACAUUCAGCUGAUACAGCUGGUCCCUUACAUAUUCAGUGUCCACAAAUGGAAAGUCACUGUUCCCACACUCGUGGUUCUCUGACUCAGACCUUAGGCUGCCCGGUCUGCUAUCAGUAUUAUUAAAGACUGAGGCAAAAAAAGCAUUGAAUGCCUCUGCUUUUUCUUCAUCCCUAUUUGUCAAGUGACCAUCUUCAACAAGUAUCAGUCCAAUGUUUUCUUUAGACCUCCUCUUGCUAUUAACAUACUUAAAAAAGCCCUUCUUGUUACCUGAAAUAACACUGGCCAGUUUUAACUCUAAUUGAGCUUUGGCCUUUUGUGUCUUCUCCCUGCAUAUGCAAACCACAGCUCUCUAAUCUUCCUGCGAAGCGUGACCUCGCUUCCAGAGAUUGUACAAUUUCUUUUUCCUCUUGAGCUCCAAGAGGAGUUCCCUGUUCAGCCAAGCUGGUCUUCUGACCUGCUUGCUUGACUUGCGACACAGUGGAAUUGCCUGCUCCAACACAGUGUCUUUUCCUGCCACAGCCCUGGAGCAUGCAGUUUCCCCUCUCCUCCCCCAUGGCUCUCAUUCCCUUCAGGCCUGGGCAUCUACGCUAUGCUGACCAAGCUGCAAGCUGUGAAGACCCAUGAUGAGAUGCUUCCAGCCCGUAAGGACCCCCAGCCUCCCACCAUGUAGGUGCUUAAGGCAGAACAGGCCAACGCUAGCUAGUAGAGCCAGAAAUAUCCUGGACCCUUGCCUGGGGCCUGCCAGGCUGUGGGCAGUCCUGUCCUGCUGCCCUCCCUGGUCAGAUGCUGCUCUUCUUCCUGAAGCGAAAGCUUGAUGGAAAUUUACUAGCCAAAACUUUUUAACAAGCAGCAGCAAUGAACUAUGUAACAGUGGUAUUGUGAAUCGUACAUGUAAGCACACGGUAAUCUUUUAAUGGAACUUAUCUUCGGGAAUGGAAUGCAAGGACACUAUGAGAUAAAGAGGCACAGGAUGCCUCAAGACUGCAGAACCGACUGAAACUAGCUCUGUGGUUUUGUCAGCAAGAACACGGGAGUAAAAGCUAUAGUUCACCAAGGGGGCAUGGUGAUGGAGUGGAUGAAGUAAACGACCACCAGAUGUCUCUGAAGCCCACCCAAAGACUAUAAUGCGC